AUUGAACGCUGGCGGCAUGCCUUACACAUGCAAGUCGAACGGCAGCACGGGAGCAAUCCUGGUGGCGAGUGGCGAACGGGUGAGUAAUAUAUCGGAACGUGCCCGGUCGUGGGGGAUAACGUAGCGAAAGCUACGCUAAUACCGCAUACGAUCUACGGAUGAAAGCGGGGGAUCGCAAGACCUCGCGCGAUUGGAGCGGCCGAUAUCAGAUUAGGUAGUUGGUGAGGUAAAGGCUCACCAAGCCAACGAUCUGUAGCUGGUCUGAGAGGACGACCAGCCACACUGGAACUGAGACACGGUCCAGACUCCUACGGGAGGCAGCAGUGGGGAAUUUUGGACAAUGGACGCAAGUCUGAUCCAGCCAUUCCGCGUGCAGGAUGAAGGCCCUCGGGUUGUAAACUGCUUUUGUACGGUAACGAAAAGGUUUGUCUUAAUACGAUGAGCUCAUGACGGUACCGUAAGAAUAAGCA
rnacentral:rRNA from 1 species